rnacentral:tRNA from 1 species
GGUAGUAGUUCAGUGGUAGAGUGCUUCCCUAUUACAUAUGAGACCCUGGGUUCUAUCCUCAGCCCA